rnacentral:tRNA from 1 species
GCACCUGUUUUCGCAGUAAAAACGGGGAAACCAUUUGAUACACCGAGCUUUCUAAAAAGUGUCCAGGCCUGUUUCCUAAACCGCGGGUCGCACGUUCAAUUCGUGUCGGGGGCACCA